UAGAGUUUGAUCAUGGCUCAGAUUGAACGCUGGCGGCAGGCCUAACACAUGCAAGUCGAGCGGCAGCGGGGGGAAGCUUGCUUCCCUGCCGGCGAGCGGCGGACGGGUGAGUAAUGUCUGGGGAUCUGCCUGAUGGAGGGGGAUAACUACUGGAAACGGUAGCUAAUACCGCAUAACGUCGCAAGACCAAAGUGGGGGACCUUCGGGCCUCACGCCAUCGGAUGAACCCAGAUGGGAUUAGCUAGUAGGUGGGGUAACGGCUCACCUAGGCGACGAUCCCUAGCUGGUCUGAGAGGAUGACCAGCCACACUGGAACUGAGACACGGUCCAGACUCCUACGGGAGGCAGCAGUGGGGAAUAUUGCACAAUGGGGGAAACCCUGAUGCAGCCAUGCCGCGUGUGUGAAGAAGGCCUUCGGGUUGUAAAGCACUUUCAGCGGGGAGGAAGGCGGUAAGGUUAAUAACCUUACCGAUUGACGUUACCCGCAGAAGAAGCACCGGCUAACUCCGUGCCAGCAGCCGCGGUAAUACGGAGGGUGCAAGCGUUAAUCGGAAUGACUGGGCGUAAAGCGCACGCAGGCGGUCUGUUAAGUUGGAUGUGAAAUCCUCGGGCUUAACCUGGGAACUGCAUUCAAAACUGACAGGCUAGAGUCUCGUAGAGGGGGGUAGAAUUCCAGGUGUAGCGGUGAAAUGCGUAGAGAUCUGGAGGAAUACCGGUGGCGAAGGCGGCCCCCUGGACGAAGACUGACGCUCAGGUGCGAAAGCGUGGGGAGCAAACAGGAUUAGAUACCCUGGUAGUCCACGCUGUAAACGAUGUCGAUUUGGAGGUUGUGCCCUUGAGGCGUGGCUUCCGGAGCUAACGCGUUAAAUCGACCGCCUGGGGAGUACGGCCGCAAGGUUAAAACUCAAAUGAAUUGACGGGGGCCCGCACAAGCGGUGGAGCAUGUGGUUUAAUUCGAUGCAACGCGAAGAACCUUACCUACUCUUGACAUCCAGCGAAGACUGCAGAGAUGCGGUCGUGCCUUCGGGAACGCUGAGACAGGUGCUGCAUGGCUGUCGUCAGCUCGUGUUGUGAAAUGUUGGGUUAAGUCCCGCAACGAGCGCAACCCUUAUCCUCUGUUGCCAGCACUACGGGUGGGAACUCAGGGGAGACUGCCGGUGAUAAACCGGAGGAAGGUGGGGAUGACGUCAAGUCAUCAUGGCCCUUACGAGUAGGGCUACACACGUGCUACAAUGGCGUAUACAAAGAGAAGCGACCUCGCGAGAGCAAGCGGACCUCAUAAAGUACGUCGUAGUCCGGAUUGGAGUCUGCAACUCGACUCCAUGAAGUCGGAAUCGCUAGUAAUCGUAGAUCAGAAUGCUACGGUGAAUACGUUCCCGGGCCUUGUACACACCGCCCGUCACACCAUGGGAGUGGGUUGCAAAAGAAGUAGGUAGCUUAACCUUCGGGAGGGCGCUUACCACUUUGUGAUUCAUGACUGGGGUGAAGUCGUAACAAGGUAACCGUAAUCACUAGUGAAUUCGCGGCCGCCUGCAGGUCGACCAUAUGGGAGAGCUCCCAACGCGUUGGAUGCAUAGCUUGAGUAUUCUAUAGUGUCACCUAAA
rnacentral:rRNA from 1 species